rnacentral:misc_RNA from 1 species
UACGGAGGAUCCAAGCGUUAUCCGGAAUCAUUGGGUUUAAAGGGUCUGUAGGCGGGUUGAUAAGUCAGUGGUGAAAGUCUGCAGCUUAACUGUAGAAUUGCCAUUGAUACUGUCGUCCUUGAGCUAUUGUGAAGUGGUUGGAAUAUGUAGUGUAGCGGUGAAAUGCAUAGAUAUUACAUAGAAUACCGAUUGCGAAGGCAGAUCACUAAUAAUUUACUGACGCUGAGGGACGAAAGCGUAGGUAACGAACAGG